UAUUCCUUUUAUACAAUAGCCCACAAAUUUAUUGAGCUUCAGGCUCCUUCAUUUCUCUUGCCAGCAUUGAGGAGAUGAUGUUAUUUAUGUAAAAGAGGCUGGCAGAGGGAAACUUGGAGCAUGUGUAGUCUGGAAAAGAAAUACAGCAUAAGAUUACCGAUGCAUACAGGAUUUUCUAGCUUUAUAAUAGAAGAAUAACAAAUUGAAGCCUUAUGCUAUGUUUAAUUGCAGGCCACACUGCUAGUGUCAGUCAUGAAACAUCAUCACACAGUAAUUUAGCUAUACGUUGUGUACUUUGAGCCAGGGUCUGCAGUUAUCAGGUGUGCACCACGAUAUUGUAAAGAGCAGAGGCAGAAUGAAGAUAAACAUCCCAGUACUGGCGCCAAGCUCUUUGGCAUGCAUAAAGAACAGGUCAGUGUGUUAGCAGCUAUUCAUUGGAAUUUUAUAUAAUUCAUUUGCACGUACAGGUAAUCCUCUAUAACGAAGCCAGUAAAACCAGCACUUUACUUCGUUGUAUAAAAAUUUCGCUGAAUGAAAAUUUGACCUUUUAUAA
rnacentral:lncRNA from 1 species